rnacentral:rRNA from 1 species
ACUCAAAUGAAUUGACGGGGACCCACACAAGCGGUGGAGCAUGGGGUUUAAUUCGAUGAUAAGCGAAGCACCUCACCCAGACUUGACAUGUUAGGAAUUUGGUCGAAAGAUCGAAGUGCCGCAAGGAACCUAAACACAGGCGCUGCACGGUCGUCGUCAGCUCGUGUCUUGAGAUGUACUGUUAAGUCAGCUAACGAGCGCAACCCUUGUCCUAUGUUGCUAUUUCAUAGGAGACUGCCGCCUCCAAGGCGGAGGAAGGCAAGGACGACGUCAGAUCAGCGUGGCCUUUAUGUCUGGGGCAACACCCGUGCUACAAUGGUCGGUACAAACGGCAGCAAGCUCGCAAGAGUAAGCAAAUCCGAUAAAACCGAUCUCAGUUCGGAUUGAAGUCUGCAACUCGACUUCAUGAAGUUGGAAUCGCUAGUAACCGUGAAUCAGCUACGUCACGGUGAAUAUGUUCCUGGGUCUUGUACACACCGCCCGU